AAUAUUGCACAAUGGGCGCAAGCCUGAUGCAGCCAUGCCGCGUGUAUGAAGAAGGCCUUCGGGUUGUAAAGUACUUUCAGCAGUGAGGAAGUGGAUAUGUUAAUAGCAUAUUCAUUUGACGUUAGCUGCAGAAGAAGCACCGGCUAACUCCGUGCCAGCAGCCGCGGUAAUACGGAGGGUGCGAGCGUUAAUCGGAAUUACUGGGCGUAAAGCGCAUGCAGGUGGUUUGUUAAGUCAGAUGUGAAAGCCCGGGGCUCAACCUCGGAAUUGCAUUUGAAACUGGCAAACUAGAGUACUGUAGAGGGGGUAGGAAUUUCAGGUGUAGCGGUGAAAUGCGUAGAGAUCUGAAGGAAUACCGGUGGCGAAGGCGGCCCCCUGGACAGAUACUGACACUCAGAUGCGAAAGCGUGGGGAGCAAACAGGAUUAGAUACCCUCGUAG
rnacentral:rRNA from 1 species